GAACAACGGGAUUGGUAUGUGGAGGAAAAACAAAGAGACCAUGAAAAGUCAAGACAUACAUACUCAUUGUACUGUAUUCAGAAGUCUUAAUUCUUCCACUGCCGUCGACCAUGGCACCCCAGGUUUGAGAGCUACGAGCCUUGCUAUGGCUUGUAUUCAGUGCUUUCUUCGAGCGUGAUUUGGACGAACAGCCGGCCUCCUGAACUGAUACGCAGUUGAAACUAGAGCAUAUACUUGUGCAAUAAAGCACCAUGUCAUCGCUUA